CCUACGGGAGGCUGCAGUGAGGAAUAUUGGUCAAUGGGCGGGAGCCUGAACCAGCCAAGUCGCGUGAGGGAAGAAGGUACUGAGUAUUGUAAACCUCUUUUGCCAGGGGACAAAGGCGGCCACGGGUGGCCGUAAGUGGGUACCUGGAGAAAAAGCAUCGGCUAACUCCGUGCCAGCAGCCGCGGUAAUACGGAGGAUGCAAGCGUUAUCCGGAUUUAUUGGGUUUAAAGGGUGCGUAGGCUGUGAGGUAAGUCAGCGGUGAAAUGCCCCCGCUCAACGGGGUGAAGUGCCAUUGAUACUGCCUUGCUGGAAUGCGGAUGCCGUGGGAGGAAUGUGUGGUGUAGCGGUGAAAUGCAUAGAUAUCACACAGAACACCGAUUGCGAAGGCAUCUCACGAAUCCGCGAUUGACGCUGAUGCACGAAAGCGUGGGUAUCAAACAGGAUUAGAUACCCCAGUAGUC
rnacentral:rRNA from 1 species